UUGUAUGGAUGAGCCAAGAAAGUGGUUUCUUGAGAUGGAAUCUACUCCUGGUGAAGAUGCUAUGAA
rnacentral:pre_miRNA from 1 species